GGGAAUCUUCGGCAAUGGACGAAAGUCUGACCGAGCAGCGCCGCGUGAGUGAAGAAGGUUUUCGGAUCGUAAAACUCUGUUGGUAGAGAAGAACGUUGGUGAGAGUGGAAAGCUCAUCAAGUGACGGUAACUACCCAGAAAGGGACGGCUAACUACGUGCCAGCAGCCGCGGUAAUACGUAGGUCCCGAGCGUUGUCCGGAUUUAUUGGGCGUAAAGCGAGCGCAGGUGGUUUAUUAAGUCUGGUGUAAAAGGCAGUGGCUCAACCAUUGUAUGCAUUGGAAACUGGUAGACUUGAGUGCAGGAGAGGAGAGUGGAAUUCCAUGUGUAGCGGUGAAAUGCGUAGAUAUAUGGAGGAACACCGGUGGCGAAAGCGGCUCUCUGGCCUGUAACUGACACUGAGGCUCGAAAGCGUGGGGAGCAAAACAGGAUUAGAUAGCCCUGGUAGUC
rnacentral:rRNA from 1 species